rnacentral:rRNA from 1 species
GACGAACGCUGGCGGCGUGCUUAACACAUGCAAGUCGAACGGAAAGGCCCUGCUUUUGUGGGGUGCUCGAGUGGCGAACGGGUGAGUAACACGUGAGUAACCUGCCCUUGACUUUGGGAUAACUUCAGGGAACUGGGGCUAAUACCGGAUAGGAGCUCCUGCUGCAUGGUGGGGGUUGGAAAGUUUCGGCGGUUGGGGAUGGACUCGCGGCUUAUCAGCUUGUUGGUGGGGUAGUGGCUUACCAAGGCUUUGACGGGUAGCCGGCCUGAGAGGGUGACCGGCCACAUUGGGACUGAGAUACGGCCCAGACUCCUACGGGAGGCAGCAGUGGGGAAUAUUGCACAAUGGGCGGAAGCCUGAUGCAGCAACGCCGCGUGCGGGAUGACGGCCUUCGGGUUGUAAACCGCUUUCGCCUGUGACGAAGCGUGAGGGACGGUAAUGGGUAAAGAAGCACCGGCGAACUACGU